rnacentral:rRNA from 1 species
AGAGUUUGAUCCUGGAUCUCAACGAACGCUGGCGGCGUACCUAACGCAUGCGCCUCCAACGAGAAAUUCCGAUUCGUCCGGAAGGUAAAGUGGCGAACGGGUGAGUAAUAUGAGGGUAAUCUACCUUUGAAUUAAGGAUAACUUUGCGAAAGCGAAAAUCAUACCUGAUAACACUACAGUCUCUUAGGAGACAAUAUGAAAAGGUGGCCUCUGUCUCAUGCUAUCUUUUAUGGAUGAGCCCUCAUACUAUUAGCUUGUUGGUGAGGUAAUGGCUCAUCAAGGCUACGAUGGUUAGCUGGUCUGAGAGGAUGAUCAACCUCACUGGAACUGAGAUACCGUCCAGACUCCUACGGGAGGCAGCAGUGAGGGAUAUUGCGCAAUGGGGGAAACCCUGACGCAGUGACGCCGCGUGAGUGAUGAAGGCUUUCCAGUCGUAAAGCUCUGUUAGGUGGGAAGAAAUGUUCAUGUGCUAAUACCAUGUGCGCUUGAAGGUACCACCAUAGGAAGCACCGGCUAACUCCGUGCCAGCAGCCGCGGUAAUACGGAGGGUGCCAGCGUUGUUCGGAAUUAUUGGGCGUAAAGAGCGUGUACGCCGUUUGGCAAGUCAAAUGUGAAAGCCCUUAGCUCACCUAACGAAGUGCAUUUGAAACUGCUUAACUACAGUACAGUAGGUGAAAGUGGAAUUCCCAGUGUACAGGUGAAAUUCAUAGAUAUUGGGAGGAACACCGGUGGCGAAGGCGGCUCUGUGGCUUGAUACUGACGCUGAGACGAGAAAGCGUGGGGAGCAAACAGGAUUAGAUACAGAGGUAGUCCAUGCCGUAAACGAUUGGCACUAGGUGUAGGGAGUGUUGACCCUAUCUGUGGAGAAGCUAACUCAUUUAGUGUCCUGCAUGGGGAGUACUGUCGCAAGGCUAAAACUCAAAGGAAUUGACGGGGGCCCGCACAAGCGGUGGAGCAUGUGGUUUAAUUUGACGCUACGCGAAUAACCUUACCUGGGCUUGCCAUGGUGGGAUUAAUCCUGAGAAAUCAGGAGGAUUGCCUUCGGGUGUAACCAGCACAGUUGAUGCAUGGCCGUCGUCAGUUUGUGUUGUGAAAUGGUGGGUUAAGUCCGGCAACGAGCGCAACCCUCGCCUUUAGUUGCCAUCAUUAAGUUGGGCACUGUAAAGGAACUGCCCCGGUUAACGGGGAGGAAGGUGAGGAUGACGUCAAGUCCUCAUGGCCCUUAUGCCCAGGUCUACCCACGUGCUACAAUGGUCUGUACAAAGGGUAGCAAACUUGUGAGAGUAAGCUAAUCCCAAAAAGCAGGCCUCAGUUCGGAUUGAAGUCUGCAACUUGACUUCAUGAAGGUGGAAUCGGUAGUAAUCCCAUAUCAGCAUGACGGGGCGAAUACGUUCCCCGGCCUCGUGCACACCUCCCGUCACCCCACGAAAGUCGGCUGCACCAGAAGUCGUUGGACCAACCUUGUUUAGCUUGGAGGAAGACGCCUAAGCUGUGGUCCAGAUUGGGGUGAAGUCGUAACAAGGUAACC